GAGUUUGAUCCUGGCUCAGAUUGAACGCUGGCGGCAUGCCUUACACAUGCAAGUCGAACGGCAGCACGGGAGCUUGCUCCUGGUGGCGAGUGGCGAACGGGUGAGUAAUGCAUCGGAACGUAUCCUGGAGUGGGGGAUAACGUAGCGAAAGUUACGCUAAUACCGCAUAUUCUGUGAGCAGGAAAGCGGGGGGACCUUCGGGCCUCGCGCUCUUGGAGCGGCCGAUGUCGGAUUAGCUAGUUGGUGAGGUAAGGCUCACCAAGGCGACGAUCCGUAGCAGGUCUGAGAGGAUGAUCUGCCACACUGGAACUGAGACACGGUCCAGACUCCGUACGGAGGCAGCAGUGGGAAUUUGGACAAUGGGGCAACCCUGAUCCAGCCAUGCCGCGUGAGUGAAG
rnacentral:rRNA from 1 species